rnacentral:rRNA from 1 species
GAUGAACGCUGGCGGCGUGCCUAAUACAUGCAAGUCGAGCGAACGGACGAGAAGCUUUCUUCUCUGCUGUUAGCGGCGGACGGGUGAGUAACACGUAUAUACCCUACCUAUAAGACUGGGAUAACUUCGGGAACCCUGAGCUCAUACCGGACAAUAUUUUGAACCGCAUGGUUCAACAGUGAAAGACGUUCUUGCUGUCACUUAUAGAUGGAUCCGAGCUGCAUUAGCUAGUUGGUACGGUAACGGCUUACCAAGGCAACGAUGCAUAGCCGACCUGAGAGGAUGAUCGGCCACACUGGAACUGAGACACGGUCCAGACUCCUACGGGAGGCAGCAGUAGGGAAUAUUCGGCAAUGGGCGAAAGCCUGACCGAGCAACGCCGCGUGAGUGAUGAAGGUCUUCGGAUCGUAAAGCUCUGUUAGUAGGGAGGAACAGAUGUGUAUGUAAAUGUGCACAUCUUGACGGUACCUACAGAGAAAGCCACGGCUAACUUCGUG